rnacentral:rRNA from 1 species
CCUACGGGUGGCAGCAGUGAGGAAUAUUGGUCAAUGGACGAGAGUCUGAACCAGCCAAGUAGCGUGAAGGAUGACUGCCCUAUGGGUUGUACACUUCUUUUAUAAAGGAAUAAAACGAGGCACGUGUGCCUUUUUGUAUGUACCUUAUGAAUAAGGAUCGGCUAACUCCGUGCCAGCAGCCGCGGUAAUACGGAGGAUCCGAGCGUUAUCCGGAUUUAUUGGGUUUAAAGGGAGCGUAGAUGGAUUGUUAAGUCAGUUGUGAAAGUUUGCGGCUCAACCGUAAAAUUGCAAUUGAAACUGGCAGGCUUGAGUACAGUUGAGGUAGGCGGAAUUCGUGGUGUAGCGGUGAAAUGCUUAGAUAUCACGAAGAACCCCGAUGGCGAAGGCAGUUUACUGAACUGUGACUGACAUUGAUGCUCGAAAGUGUGGGUAUCAAACAGGAUUAGAUACCCCGGUAGUC